rnacentral:lncRNA from 1 species
CUUCUAGGUCUAGUUUUUUAAUGUGCUCUUCCUGCACAGUAUCUUUGUUAAUAGCUUCUUGUUUUUUAUAGUGCUCAAUUUGCACUUUCACAUUUGUAACUUCAGUAGUUAAUGUGAUAACUCGUUCUUGUAAUAACUUCAUUUGUUCAAAUAUUUGUAACAUUAAGUCUGUUUAGGUAUCUUUGACAUCAGCUUCUUCUAU